rnacentral:rRNA from 1 species
AUAUCAGUCAUGCAUAGCAUAUCAAUAAGCGGAGGAAAAGAAACUAACAAGGAUUCCCUUAGUAACGGCGAGUGAAGCGGGAAGAGCUCAAAUUUGAAAUCUUCAAGGUUCUACCUUGACGAAUUGUAGUUUAUAGAAGUGUUUUCUGUUAGUAGGAGUGGCAAAAGUUCUUUGGAAUAGGACAUCAUAGAGGGUGAGAAUCCCGUAUUUGGUCAUUCCUCCUAGCGUUGUGAUACACUUUCAACGAGUCGGAUUGUUUGGGAAUGCAGUCCAAAAUGGGUGGUAAAUUUCAUCUAAAGCUAAAUAUUGGCGAGAGACCGAUAGUGAACAAGUACCGUGAGGGAAAGAUGAAAAGAACUUUGAAAAGAGAGUUAAACAGUACGUGAAAUUGUCAAAAGGGAAGCGUUUGACACCAGUGUUGUUUUUCCGAAAAUCAAUUACGAAUGUUUUGUUUUUAAGAAGUUAUGACUUCAUCGGCUUGCUCCUUUCUUUACGAAACUUUCUUAAUGCACUUUUCGGUUAACAAGUCAACAUCAAUUUCUUUUGUUGUAAAAGGGUAUGAGGAAGGUGGCUUUCUUUUCGGAGAAAGUGUUUAUAGCCUUGUGCCUCUGCAAUCGGAGAGAUUGAGGUCUGCAGCGUAGAUCCUUCGGGGUUAGAUACAUUUGUGCUAAGCUAUAGCCUUUCAUAGACAACUUGUUGACUAUGAUCAGUCAUGUAGCUUACUCGCUUAUGUCAUUUUACCUACGCUUAGGAUGUUGAUGUGAUACUGCGAGCA